rnacentral:rRNA from 1 species
CACGUAGGGUGCGAGCGUUGUCCGGAAUUAUUGGGCGUAAAGAGCUCGUAGGCGGUGUGUCGCGUCGGCCGUGAAAACCUGCAGCUUAACUGUGGGCGUGCGGUCGAUACGGGCAGACUAGAGUUCGGUAGGGGAGACUGGAAUUCCUGGUGUAGCGGUGAAAUGCGCAGAUAUCAGGAGGAACACCGGUGGCGAAGGCGGGUCUCUGGGCCGAUACUGACGCUGAGGAGCGAAAGCGUGGGGAGCGAACAGG